rnacentral:pre_miRNA from 1 species
AGCUGUUAAAUGCUUAGCAGGUAGUGUCAAAGUUCUAUCACUGGGUGUUUAACAGAUGU